UACGUAGGGGGCAAGCGUUGUCCGGAAUCAUUGGGCGUAAAGCGCGCGUAGGCGGCCCGAUAAGUCCGCUGUAAAAGUCAACGGCUCAACUGUUGAAAGCCGGUGGAUACUGUCGGGCUAGAGUACGGAAGAGGCAAGUGGAAUUCCUGGUGUAGCGGUGGAAUGCGCAGAUAUCAGGAAGAACACCGGUGGCGAAAGCGUUCUGCUAGGCCUGUACUGACACUGAGGGACGAAAGCUAGGGGAGCGAAUGGG
rnacentral:rRNA from 1 species